AUGGAUUUGUUUGUCAGGAACAUCCGCAAAGUUUUCUGCAUUUUUUUUGCAGAGUACUCCAAAACCAAAAACCAACAUCCUGCCAAAGCAAACACCUGCAAAACAGUAGAGUCUGUGGAUAAAGGGAGGUUGUUAGGAGUCUCCUUAAGAAGCUGGAGUAAGGAGCUGCUCUCUCCAUUGACCACUAGGCUAACAGCUGAUGGGCUCAAAGAACUGACAGCAGCCGCUCAACUUCACCCUGAGCACAAACCCAGGGAGGAGAAAGAGGAAGAGAAGAAAAGGCUCCUUGCUGUCAUUUGUCAGCAAUAAUGGAUAUUCGGGCAGUUUGGUACAGCAGGACAUUCAGGGGUGCUUGAGAUCGUUAGAAAUGAAGCAAACAUGCUAAUUCUUGUACUGAUUUGAUUUGGGGCUGUAGUGAAGGAAUCUCAGAGUCACAGAAGAUCUGCUCCCUGUGAGGAGCUGCAGCUGCCAUCAGGCCUCCCCUCAGCUCCUCUGCUGUGGGCUGAGCAGCCCAUGGGCAUCAGCUGAUCCUCAUAUGUCUUGUUCUCCAGAGCCCUCACCAUCUUUGUAGUCCCCUUUUAGACAUCCCCUAAUAAUAAUUUUAUGUCUCUCAAACGUUGUGGUACCCCAAAAUGGCACACAGUAGUUGAAGCGAGGCUGCACCAGUGCAGACAAGAGUGGGACAAUCGCUCAGGAAAAGAGGAAAGGUCUUGUUGAUUCAGUUCAGGGGUCUUUUGGGUGAUCAGGGCCUGGGAAAGUUGCAAGGAAGAAAAAAUUUGGUCCAGGGCAAGUGGGAAGGAUCAGAUCCAUGCGUGCAUUUCAUAUCGGGAUCAAAGCAGCUUUUCCUUCCUGAGCUUCUCAUGAUGUCCACUUCUCAUGAUGGUUGCACUGCCGUGGAAGCAAAGCUGCAGAGGACUUCUGCCGUUUGGUGAAUAUCUGGGUGCUUCCUGCUUCUUCGAGAUUGCUGGGAAGUCCUGUGCAGUCCUUUCCUUCUGUUCCCUGUGUGAGGCUGGAAAGCCCUGAAGAAACCCGGAUCUUGGCCUCCUAACUAUUAAACACCUGGCAUGCCUAAGUAGGCGUAUGCGUGACAGGAGGAGGCAGCUCAGAAACAGGGGAGGACUGGGACAUAGGCAAGGUGAGUAGGCAGGAGCAAGACAGGGCAGGCCCAGCUGCAGCAAGGGUAGGAAGUUCAAAGAUGGAACGUGCAGCUGUGCGCAGCUUCCAGCCUCCUGUACAGGCUGCAGUGUGGCUCUAGAAAGGCCUCCCAAGAUACCGGGACACAGUAGAGAGAAGCCAAACAGCUUCUGAG
rnacentral:lncRNA from 1 species